UACGUAGGGGUCGAGCGUUGUCCGGAGUUACUGGGCGUAAAGCGUGUGCAGGCGGCUCAUUGCGCCCGGCGUGAAAGCCCCCGGCUCAACCGGGGAGAGUCGUCGGGGACGGGUGAGCUUAAGGGUAUCAGGGGCUGGUGGAAUUCCCGGUGUAGUGGUGAAAUGCGUAGAUAUCGGGAGGAACACCCGUGGCGAAGGCGGCCAGCUGGGAUACACCUGACGCUGAGGAGCGAAAGCAUGGGGAGCGAACAGG
rnacentral:rRNA from 1 species